GCAAUCUAUACUGUGAAACUGCGAAUGGCUCAUUAAAUCAGUUAUCGUUUAUUUGAUAGUACCUUACUACAUGGAUAACCGUGGUAAUUCUAGAGCUAAUACAUGCUAAAAACCCCGACUUCGGAAGGGGUGUAUUUAUUAGAUAAAAAACCAAUGCCCUUCGGGGCUCCUUGGUGAUUCAUAAUAACUUAACGAAUCGCAUGGCCUUGUGCCGGCGAUGGUUCAUUCAAAUUUCUGCCCUAUCAACUUUCGAUGGUAGGAUAGUGGCCUACCAUGGUUUCAACGGGUAACGGGGAAUUAGGGUUCUAUUCCGGAGAGGGAGCCUGAGAAACGGCUACCACAUCCAAGGAAGGCAGCAGGCGCGCAAAUUACCCAAUCCCGACACGGGGAGGUAGUGACAAUAAAUACUGAUACAGGGCUCUUUUGGGUCUUGUAAUUGGAAUGAGUACAAUUUAAAUCCCUUAACGAGGAACAAUUGGAGGGCAAGUCUGGUGCCAGCAGCCGCGGUAAUUCCAGCUCCAAUAGCGUAUAUUAAAGUUGUUGCAGUUAAAAAGCUCGUAGUUGAACCUUGGGCCUGGCUGGCCGGUCCGCCUCACCGCGUGCACUGGUCCGGCCGGGCCUUUCCUUCUGGGGAGCCGCAUGCCCUUCACUGGGUGUGUCGGGGAACCAGGACUUUUACUUUGAAAAAAUUAGAGUGUUCAAAGCAGGCCUAUGCUCGAAUACAUUAGCAUGGAAUAAUAGAAUAGGACGUGUGGUUCUAUUUUGUUGGUUUCUAGGACCGCCGUAAUGAUUAAUAGGGAUAGUCGGGGGCAUCAGUAUUCAAUUGUCAGAGGUGAAAUUCUUGGAUUUAUUGAAGACUAACUACUGCGAAAGCAUUUGCCAAGGAUGUUUUCAUUAAUCAGUGAACGAAAGUUAGGGGAUCGAAGACGAUCAGAUACCGUCGUAGUCUUAACCAUAAACUAUGCCGACUAGGGAUCGGGCGAUGUUAUCUUUUUGACUCGCUCGGCACCUUACGAGAAAUCAAAGUUUUU
rnacentral:rRNA from 1 species